UACAGAGGGUGCGAGCGGUAAUCGGAAUUGCUGGGCGUAAAGGGGGCGUAGGUGGUUCGUUAAGUCAGAUGUGAAAGCCCGGGGCUCAACCUCGGAAUUGCAUUUGAUACUGGCGAGCUAGAGUGUGGUAGAGGGUAGUGGAACUCCCGGUGUAGCGGUGAAAUGCGUAGAUAUCGGGAAGAACACCAGUGGCGAAGGCGGCUACCUGGACCAACACUGACACUGAGGCACGAAAGCGUGGGGAGCAACCAGG
rnacentral:misc_RNA from 1 species